AUUGAACGCUGGCGGCAGGCCUAACGCAUGCAAGUCGAGCGGAUGAAGGGAGCUUGCUCCUGGAUUCAGCGGCGGACGGGUGAGUAAUGCCUAGGAAUCUGCCUGGUAGUGGGGGAUAACGUCCGGAAACGGGCGCUAAUACCGCAUACGUCCUGAGGGAGAAAGUGGGGGAUCUUCGGACCUCACGCUAUCAGAUGAGCCUAGGUCGGAUUAGCUAGUUGGUGGGGUAAAGGCCUACCAAGGCGACGAUCCGUAACUGGUCUGAGAGGAUGAUCAGUCACACUGGAACUGAGACACGGUCCAGACUCCUACGGGAGGCAGCAGUGGGGAAUAUUGGACAAUGGGCGAAAGCCUGAUCCAGCCAUGCCGCGUGUGUGAAGAAGGUCUUCGGAUUGUAAAGCACUUUAAGUUGGGAGGAAGGGCAGUAAGUUAAUACCUCGCUGUUUUGACGUUACCAACAGAAUAAGCACCGGCUAACUUCGUG
rnacentral:rRNA from 1 species